UAUGCUGCCGGUGCGGCUGGUUCGCCGCUCCCUCACCGGAGCGGCGAGGCAACAGGGAACCCGGUGCGAUUCCGGGACUGCCCCGCAGCGGUGAGUGGGAACGACCGCCGUCACACGAGCACUGGGUGAGCGAUCACCUGGGAAGCGACGGCCAGUAGGAACGCGCACGACGCCCACGAGUCCGAAUACCUGCCACCGUCCGCGCGCCGAC
rnacentral:ncRNA from 2 species